rnacentral:rRNA from 1 species
UACGGAGGAUCCAAGCGUUAUCCGGAUUUAUUGGGUUUAAAGGGUGCGUAGGUGGCUGGGUAAGUUUGAUGUGAAAUCUCCGGGCUUAACCCGGAAAUGGCAUUGAAUACUAUUCGGCUAGAGGUUUGGAGGGGGGACUGGAAUUCUCGGUGUAGCAGUGAAAUGCGUAGAUAUCGAGAGGAACACCAGUGGCGAAGGCGAGUCCCUGGACAACACCUGACACUGAGGCACGAAAGCUAGGGGAGCAAACAGG